AUUGUGAGUUUUGUGCAAUUAGUUGAGCGGUAUUUCGCAAAUUAGAAAACCAAAGUCGGUUUCCUUCUCAAACCAUCCGAUCCUUUUAUAUUAUUGUCGGUCAAUGAAACCUCAUCACAUUCCUUAAGUCUCUCUCGUGGGUUCUAAAAUCUCAAAACCCAAAAGAGAACCCCAACCCCCGUGAAAAAAAUCCGAAGCCCCAAAACCCAAAUCCCCUGUUUCUCUCUUCUUUCGUUCUCCCCUGCUUCCCUUUCACGGUGUUUCGUCGCUGCUCGGAGUUGCUACUCGUCGGAGCUUUGAUGUCGGCCACCUUCGUGUCUCUCUCUCCUCCGUUCUCUUCCUCUUCGUUGAUGUGCAAGCGGUGUUGUGCGCGUGCCGCCGUGGUGCUGCUGCUGCCGCAUUUGAGGAGUUGUUGUUGUGUUGUUGGUUCUGCUAGUGGUUGUUUUGUUCGGCUGUUGCUGUCGCUGUUGUUGUGGUUGACGGUGCUCGCCGUCAAAGCCUCGAAACCCCCUCCGCUCUCUGUUCUUCGCUGCUAUCUUAGCAGAGAUAAAGGCUAAUUCUCUGUUUUCCUGUUCAAAUUCUAAUUUCAAGAUUUGUAAAUUAAUCCCAAGUUGUUGUUGUUUGUUGUUAUUGUUGUUGCGUUGUCGUUGUACUUAUUAUUGGUUGUUAUUCUGUUGUUGGUGGUGGAGGUGUUGGUGUUGUUGCUGUUAUUAUUAUUGGUGUGGUGAUGCGUUGUUGUAGUGGUGUUGUUGUGGUUGAUGUUGUGUGGUUAGAGUUGAUAUAUUUGAAGAUAAGUGUAGAAAUUAUAAAAUUAGUUAGUUUCUAUUUGCGGGAUUUAGUUUAAUUACCAUAGUGGUUAUAUUAAGAGAAGUUAAUUAGCUUAGUUAAGAUUGGUUAUUAAUUAUUGUUAUUGUUGUGAGGUAAAUUAUUGUGGAGUUCAAGUUAGAAUUGGCGAUCAAUUGCCCAUGAUUAUUCUUGGUGGUGAAUUACUAAGGAAUCGGUGAUGCGUAUAAGGUUUGGUGUUGUGAGCUCGAAAUUGGAAGUGAAGCAAGGUUAUAAUGUUGUCGAAGAUUAUGGAUUGAGUUUGUAUCUAGAUAGUUGAUUUGAGAAUAGUUAUUUAUAUUUCAUUGUAUAUAAUAUUUGGGAAUAUUAGUCGAGUUAUUUGUGUAUUUAAGGAUAUUUUUCCGCUGUGAAGUAAUUUAUUUAAGAGUAUGUUAAUUUUAGUUUA